UUCCAUUGCAUAUAUACCACAUCUUCUUUAUCCGUUGAUUUGCUGAUGGACACCGAAGUUGCUUCCAUGUCUUGGCAAUUGGAAUUAAUGCUGCUAUGACCACUGGGAUGCAUAUGUCUUUUUGAAUUAGUGCGUUUUUAAUAGUCCCAGGAGUGUGGAUCAUAUGGUUGUUCUAUUUUUAGUGUUUUGAGGACAUACUUCAUUCAUUCUUAUCCACUGUGUGGAUUGACCACAUCUUAUUUAUCUAUUCAUCAGUUGACACAUUCUGGGAGGAUCUUAGUACCAGUGUGAGCUGAACUUGAAACCCAUAGACACAAGUAACUUGUUCCCUUUCCUGAUAACUUUGCUAACGUGACACAAUUGGUGCUUGAGGAAGAUGUCUGUGCAGGGCGGGCCUGUGAAGACGAGGUGGGUGGGGAGCAGAAUGGGGCAUGAUGGGGUCUGGAACUUCCUUCUACUAAGGAGGAGAGAAAGUUGAAGCCCCUCCCCGGGAAUCUCUGUGCAAGGACUAAGCCUGAGCUCGGUCUGCAGCUCUGUCCAUCAAGCCGUAAAGCCACAGGCUGAAGAGCACGCUCAUUCUGGGGGUGGGAGGGAGCCCAGGGCUGGGGUAACCUUUGUCUCCGAUUUCUCCCAGAAGCUCUGCUGAGAACCAGCUGACCACUGGUUCCUGGAAUGUGCGUGACUGUCGCUGCCUCUUGCUCAACAAUCCGCCAAAUCCUGUUAGGGAGAUGAGUGAUGCAGCUGUCCUCGUUUGUCAGGGCCCGCGCCGCACAGAGGCCCAUUGCUGCGUGUGCGGGGUGGGCGGGGGGCCUGCCAAGGCACCUGUGAGCCACCCUGACAAUGAGCUGUCUCAGCUCAGCUUGGCUGGGGAGGCCCUGGGGGUGCAGCCCAUCCCCUGCACGCCCUGCACUGAGUCAGAGCUGAGAGCUGGGGACAAAGCAGGACAGAGGCCGGAGCACAGCUGAGUGUCCGUUCCCGGCCAGGUGCAGAUGCAGCCCAGGUCCCUGGCCCCUGCAAGUGUGUGAGUGUGAGUGUGUGUGCGGGGCUGGGGCUGGGACCGUCCACAGAGGAGACCGUCUAGAGGGUGGGGCUGCCCUCCCUGGAGCCCGAGGACCUGUCGCUGGGACCCCCCACCAGCAGCCUCAGCACCCGGGGGGUCAGAGCACAGCGAGCACCGACCAGAGGAGCCCCGAGGAGCCACGGGGUGAGUGAAGCUCUGGAUGGACUGGGUGCGGCUGGGCUGGGAGAGACGGGCAGAAGCCGGGACCCGCAGAGAGAGCCCCGAACUUCCCGCCCCUUCCGCUUGUGGUGCGCAGUGGCCACGCCCCUUUCCCGGGUCCUGGGGGCAGAUGUCACCCAAGAGGGGCCGCAAAGGUGGAAGGAUAGAGGCAAGUUUAUGGCCAACGGAGUUUCCCCGAGGAGGGCAGUGGGUGGUCGUCCAAUGUCCAAGGCAGGACAGUGCGGGCCCCAGCCAGUGGUGGGGGUUCUCAGACCCCCAGCUCAUGCUGCCAGGGAGGAGGGGAGGCAGAGGGAGGGGUCUGGACGAGACACAAGCCCAGCUUUCACUCCCAGGUGCCCCCUCCCGAUGGCCAGGGCCCUGGGGAAGCGCUGGAAUAAACACCCGUGGGCCUUGGAAUGCGCGGAGGCAGGAGGUGCUGUCACCUGAUGGGCCUUUCAGAGACCCGAGGCCGAGUCCCGGAUCCUGGUGCACUUGCCGCUGCCGGUCACCCUCCUCCUAGCCUUCUGCCUCCUCCGGGUGGUGGCGGGUCCCUGCCUCAUGUCCCAGCGGGAGCCUCUGAGGCCGGCUGGACCCCUUACCGCCUACAGCCUGGGCCUGGUGACCCUCUCGGGGUACGUGUUCUAUGAGUGAAAGUGUAGAGGCCAAGAGCAGGAUCCAUUCUCCACCUCACACCCGAAAGAACCACCCCCACUCCUGUUUCUACCUGGGCUCCAGUAACCUCGGCCCUGUUUUCUGAGCCCUGAACCCACUAAUCCUUCCAGAUGCCUUGUUCUCAGCAAACAGUCAGCCAGCGCGCACUGGGCGUGCGCUUCGGGCCCGGCGGUGCUGGACCCGCAGUGUCCCCGCUGUGGAAGGCACACCAGUCCUCCAGGUGCUCACGGUCCGGAGGGGAUGCUGAUACAGGCAACUGCGUGUCAAUGCGAGCAGGGCGGCAGAAAGUACUUGGGACGGGGCAGGGACCCAGCUGCAGUGUCGGGGAAAGCUUUGCAGAGAACGUGGUCUGACACUUACAGCGGUCCUCACGGCGAGGCAGUGCGCUGCGCCCUUCGCGAGGAUCUGCUCAUCCCAUCCUCCUGACAGCUGUCACGAGGCACAGAGCAGGUAAGUACCUUAGCAGGUGGCCAGGCACCCUGACCUGAAGAGCUCACCUCCGUCCCUCCAGCCUCUGUACCCAAGCCGGGACCAGAUAGGCAGCUCCGCCGGCUCCACCAGCUGGCGGGUUCUAGAAAUGCGGCCCGUGUCUCCCCAGCUCCCAGACUUGUUUUGAAAUCAACCAUAGUGGGAGGCUUUACACCCUAAGAAUGGGCAAAUCGCCCCCUGCCGCCACCUGAAAGGCAGUUAAGCACGUAGCACCCCGACUCUGGGCUCUCCCCUGUUUCACGAUGCGCAUGUCUGGCUCCCCUCCAAACUGGCACGUGCUUCAAAGGCAGGACCGUGUCUUUCUUCUCUUUGUAAAGACAGGCUCCACUUCGUGUCUGGUAGCACGUGGAAGACGUGACAACUUGUGAGGCAUGAGACAUGCCCUGCAGGAACUGUCAUUUCUUUUUCUUUUUUAUCUUGUUUUGUUUUGGUUUUGGAUUUUUGGGGGGCGGAGGUAAUUCGGUUUUUUAUUAUUAUUGUUUAAUGGAGGUCCUGGGGCUUGAGCGCAGGGCCUCGUGCACGCCAAGCAAGCACCCCGCCACUGAGCUGUACCCUCCCCCGCCGAGCUUGCCAUUUACUCAUGGUGACACCUGACCCUGCAGCCACCAUGAUCCUUUGAAAGUCUGUGGUGCCCGUGUAGGCUUCCUGCUCAGAAGCCCUCAGUGUCUCCCUUUGCCAACGACCGGCAUGCAGAGUCCCUCCAGGCAGGGAUGUGUAUCUGUUUUGUUAUUGAAGUGGCUCGGGGCUCAGAGCAGGACCCAGUGUGGAGAAGCACUUAGCACCAUUCAAUGCAUCAUUAUCAAAUGAAUAAGUAAGGGAUAAAGUUCAGGCUCCUUAAAACAGCCUGCAGGACCCCGUGUCAGUCAAUUCCGAGCCCUCUCUCUGCCCCUGUGGCUGCCCCUCUCCUGGCAGGUGCCUCCGCCGCACCCCACUGAUCCCCGGCAGCCCCGGGGAGCUAGGAGAGGUCCAGACACUCUCCUCCCAGCGCGGAAAUCCCUCGCCCUCCCCUCCGGUCACCCAUGGCCUCCUCAUUCCCAGGCCACUGCCGAAUUUCGGAGCGGCUCCUGUUUCCUACUCUUCAUCUGACCCCAUCCUUGGAAGUGAGGGUGGUCUCCUGCCUCCUCAGGGGGCUCUCGGCUUCUCCAGGGCAGGGCUGGUAGGUGUAGGGCUCCAGGUCCCCUCCUGACUUAGGGUCUCACACACAGUAAGUGCCCCGUGUGGGUUUGGGGUCCACAUUUGCCCACCCCAGCAAGAUAUGUGCAAGUCCCAGCCCCCAAUCCAGCCACUCCGUGGAGUUUAUCUGAUGGGCAAUUGCUCACCAAGCGUUGGUGAGGGUUUGGUGGGGCUGGGGGACGUCAGUGUCCAGAAUGUGACAGGAAGAGGCGUCAGCCUCUCGAGCCUUCAGCCAGCCAGGCCCCACCACGGUGGGGGUGGGACAGGCUUCAGGACUUGCUCUUUUCCUGGUCUCUUCCUCCUAAUUCAUAGCCACCUCGCUCCUAGCCAACUACAGCUACUUCUGCCAGCUGGUGGACUACAGCCGAGCGAGCUCGGGAUAAGGAUGGCGAGCGUGUGCUGAUGGUGCCUCUUCUCAAAGGCCACUGACAGGGUGAGUGGGUGAGUGCCUGUCGCUUAAAUGAAAUUGCCUCCAUCAGCUGGGUCCGGGUGGUUUUGAAGGCUCUUUGUGUGAACACGUCCCUGUAGCGUUCCUCUCGGCCACACCUGAGGCUGCUGUCAGAGCCAACCCUUGAUCCCAGGACCUGGAGGAAGACGGAUGCUCAUGGAUGAAGCAUUUGUUCCCUUUAGCAACCAGGUUCCAGGUUCAGUGAAACUGGGAGGCUAAACAAAUUUUAGAAACCCUGAGAUUAGGUGGCAAAGGCCAUCUUUAAGUGCGAUGAGAAGAGGCCCUGCUCGUGGAUCUAGAAGGCUUGCGGGAUUGUGUGGGGCGGGGCAAGGUCAAGAUUUUGGAAUAGUGGUGAAGGUAGAAGCUUCUUUCAUAUCAAUCUCUUGCCAAAAUGGAGUCUAAACAGAGAAACUUUGGGAAUUUUUUUAUGGUUGUCUGGGCCCUGGGCUGGGGUUCAACCCCUGAGUUCUCUCCCCAGUGCCUGAGGUGGGGGGGCAGUAAUAUUGGAAGGAUCCCAGUCUCUGAAGCUGGGCUGUGUUCAAAUCCCAGCUUGGCUUCACAUUAGGGGUAUCACCCUGAACGAGUUACUUGAGCUCUGUGCCUCGGUUUUGCCAUCUGUAAAAUGGAGAUGAGUAUAAACCACACGCCAUUGUGUUUGUAUGAUUUUUUAUACACACAAGCUACCCGGCACACAGCAGGUGCUGCACGGGCAUCUGCAUGGUGUUGCUUUCCUUGGCUGUCAGCCUCCCUGUCAGCAAAACAGGACGCAUCACCCUAUCCUUGGUUGUUGAGGCUGCAGGAGAAGCGUCUGGAGGAAUAAGACUCAGACGUGGCACUCCUUUUUUCCUCCCCAGGUCUUCUUUAUUUUACAAAAGAAGCCAGAGUAGGUCACCUUCCUGCAUGUCUACAGCCAUGGCACCAUGCUCUUCAACCGGUGGGCUGCAGUCAAAUAUGUGCUGGGGGGUCACGGGUCAGCUCGUGGCCAUUGCUGUCCACUCCUCCUACAGUCUCUUUGCCUUGUGCCCCUUCCCCGAUGGGUUCAACAUGACUGUCCUCCUCUACACCCCCAGCCUCAUCACCCUUUUCCUCGACUUCUACCACCAGACAUAUCUGAGGGGCAAGAGGGAGAAGCUGGCUUAAGGGGUGGGACCGAGGACUGAAACCAGCAGAGAGGUCGGUGGAAGACGGCCCUACUCGCAGCCCACCGAGCUGAGCAGGCUCCCCUGGGCUGGUGUUUCAUCCUACGAGGGGAGGAGGAGACUUUCCUUCUUUCCAGAGGUCAGGAGGAUGAAAACAGACCCACCUUCCUGAACCUACUGUUGUUACGGCCUUUCUCAGGUGGAGUUGUUACUGCGUGUCUGCCUCCUUCCUCAGCUAGACCUGAGCCCCUCACAGGAGGACCUGUCUUACUCCAUUGUCCCCACACUGGCACAACGAUUUUCAAUAAAUGUACAUUUGGAUCCUUGUCUUCCCCCACUAGCAGUCGUGGCCUCUGGUGAGGAGCGGGCUGGCAGCCUGGCUGGGAGCAUAGAAGAAGUCAAGGCUGGCUUGAUCCCUCACCUUGCAGGGCAAGAUGAUGACUGAGAAAAUCCAAGAAUGAGUGUGGGUCUGUGUGAUUUCUAGCUUGGCUGUGUAAACAGUUCCCCUACACACCUCUCUGUCUCUUCACUAGUGCCUAUGUACGCAUUUACAGAGGUGUGUGAUUCUGUGUGUGUGAAUGGGGCGGCAAAGAGGGCUAUGACUAUACAUCUGAACACUUGUUCUCAAAUACACCCAUGUGUUUCCAUUUA